GACGAACGCUGGCGGCGUGCUUAACACAUGCGAGUCGAACGAAGAGCGAUGGAAGCUUGCUUCUAUCAAUCUUAGUGGCGAACGGGUGAGUAACGCGUAAUCAACCUGCCCUUCAGAGGGGGACAACAGUUGGAAACGACUGCCAAUACCGCAUACGAUCUAAUCUCGGCAUCGAGGAUAGAUGAAAGGUGGCCUCUACAUGUAAGCUAUCACUGAAGGAGGGGAUUGCGUCUGAUUAGCUAGUUGGAGGGGUAACGGCCCACCAAGGCGAUGAUCAGUAGCCGGUCUGAGAGGAUGAACGGCCACAUUGGGACUGAGACACGGCCCAGACUCCUACGGGAGGCAGCAGUGGGGAAUCUUCCGCAAUGGACGAAAGUCUGACGGAGCAACGCCGCGUGAGUGAUGACGGCCCUCGGGUUGUAAAGCUCUGUUAAUCGGGACGAAAGGCCUUCUUGCGAAUAGUGAGAAGGAUUGACGGUACCGGAAUAGAAAGCCACGGCUAACUACGUG
rnacentral:rRNA from 1 species